rnacentral:rRNA from 1 species
GACGAACGCUGGCGGCGUGCUUAACACAUGCAAGUCAAGGGGGCCCGCAAGGGUAACCGGCGAACGGGUGCGUAACACGUGAGCAAUCUGCCUAGAUGUGGGGGAUAGCCGGCCCAACGGCCGGGUAAUACCGCAUACGCUCGUCGACUGGCAUCAGUUGACGAGGAAACUUUCGAGGCAUCUAGAGGAGCUCGCGGCCUAUCAGCUAGUUGGUGGGGUAACGGCCUACCAAGGCGGUGACGGGUAGCUGGUCUGAGAGGAUGGCCAGCUACAUUGGGACUGAGAUACGGCCCAGACUCCUACGGGAGGCAGCAGUGGGGAAUAUUGCGCAAUGGCCGAAAGGCUGACGCAGCGACGCCGCGUGGGGGAUGAAGCAUUUCGGUGUGUAAAACCCCCUGUUGCUCGGGACGAACAAGCCUUUUCGAGGGCUCUGACGGUACCGAGUGAGGAAGCACCGGCUAACUCCGUGCCAGCAGCCGCGGUAAU